CACAAGAAGGGAUCAAUAUGCCCUUGCAAUAAAUGCGCAACAUGGGAAUGCACAAGCUGCAGUUUGGCACGACUUCUGGAAACAUUACAAGUUGCCUGAAGGAGAUACUCAUACGGAACACGCACACUCCGUGUUCCAUAGGAAUGCGGCAAGUGUUGUUGGGGAUAUGAUGUACUAUGCUCGAAUCCAGGUGAUUAGUCAAGCCAUGUUUGGUAGUGAAGGGCGACGUCCAGAGAGUAAGAAUGAGGCGACACAGUAUGGACUCGAUAUGACUGAGCAACAAUAUCUUGAGCAUUCGAUUCCAUGGAUAGCUGCCAAUGAUGCUGCUUGGCAUGCGUUAUGUCGUUACUGGGCUUCGGCUCAAUUCAAGGCAAAGUCUGUG